GAUGGGGGGACGGGGAGGGGGAGAAGAGGUGUCUCUGUGUGUUUUCCACCCACCCUACUGCUUCUCACAGGGGAAAUUUCAACUUUCUCAGUUUGCUGUUUGCAGGAAGGGGCCGGGAGUCUCCCAGGAGACCCUGGCACAGCUCCCCUGAGACUCCCCGGGACAGGCAGGCCUGUUCAGAGGCAAUGUCGAUGCCGUUCUCCACUGGGAUCUGCAGGGGAGGCUAAAGUAGCACGACUGGCCGCAGAGGUGCACUGGCCUAGAAAGUUCCUAGAUCCCCCAUCACAGCCCAACCAACCAAAUAAACAAAUAAACGGUGGCACACAGCCGCUCCCUGCCCUUCCUCCCCCAGGUCAGAAAGAUGUCAGCUCUGCUCAGGCCUGCUGCCACCAGAGGCUGGCAGAGCAGACUGCUCUUCUGUCCCCCCCUCUGCCAGCGCCACCUCCGGAGGCCCCGCUGACACUGCCUUUGUGCCUUUCUUUCUCUUUGCAGUCUGUACCCAUCCCUGCCAAGGCCCGCUCCUGGGGCCUGCCCUGCGCCUCAUCCUCGGCAUGUUUUGGAGGUGCAUCUGGAUUUCUGGAGGAGCUGAGGGGCUGCCUCAGCUUCCAGAGGAGUGGCGAGUCGGGAUGGCCAGGCCUGAGGUUCAUCCAUUUUUAGCUGCUGCUGCAAGAGCUGUCACAUCACUGUGAGGCUUUCAGCAAAGAAGCCAGGGGAAGCCCUGAGCCUUGCCCUUGACUUCUAAUGUGCUACAGACUCCUUAGCCAAGUCACUUGGUCACUGUGAGUGUCUAUUCCUAGACUUUCUAUGAAGAUCACUAAUAUUUAACUUGCUUUGAGAAGUGCUUCAAGAUUCUUGGGUGAAAGCUCCUAUGCAAGUUUCAAAUUCUUUCCAAAAAUUAAUAUCUCUAUGUUUUUUACCCUUUACGAGUGUGACUGAGCCUGUAUGUACCCCUUUAAGUCUUUAAACAGUGGGAUCCUUUCAUAGUGACUUAGGAUAUGAUGUAAUGUCUAUGCAUUGUUAACAGGACCAAAGUGUAAUAAACAUUCAUUUUAAUGAACA
rnacentral:lncRNA from 1 species